AUUGAACGCUGGCGGCAGGCUUAACACAUGCAAGUCGAACCAGUGGCGGACGGGUGAGUAAUGCUUGGGACUCUGGCUUAUGGAGGGCGAUAACUACGGGAACCUGUAGCUAAUACCGCGUACCUGAGGAUGAGCCAAAGUGGGAUUAGGUAGUUGGUGAGGUAAAGGCUCACCAAGCCGACGAUCUCUAGCUGGUCUGAGAGGAUAACCAGCAACACUGGGACUGAGAAACGGCUCAGACUCCUACGAGAGGCAGCAGUGAGGAAUAUUGCGCAAAGGGGGCAACCUGACGCAGCCAUGCCGCGUGAAUGAAGAAGGCCUUCGGGUUGUAAAGUUCUUUCGGUAGCGAGGCGUUAACUACAGAAGAAGCAACGGAUAACUCCGAGCCAGCAGCCGCGGUAAUUC
rnacentral:rRNA from 1 species